rnacentral:siRNA from 1 species
UGGUCUUAAUUGGCCGGGUC